rnacentral:rRNA from 1 species
AUUGAACGCUGGCGGCAGGCCUAACACAUGCAAGUCGAACGGUAACAGGAAGCAGCUUGCUGCUUCGCUGACGAGUGGCGGACGGGUGAGUAAUGUCUGGGAAACUGCCUGAUGGAGGGGGAUAACUACUGGAAACGGUAGCUAAUACCGCAUAACGUCGCAAGACCAAAGAGGGGGACCUUAGGGCCUCUUGCCAUCGGAUGUGCCCAGAUGGGAUUAGCUAGUAGGUGGGGUAACGGCUCACCUAGGCGACGAUCCCUAGCUGGUCUGAGAGGAUGACCAGCCACACUGGAACUGAGACACGGUCCAGACUCCUACGGGAGGCAGCAGUGGGGAAUAUUGCACAAUGGGCGCAAGCCUGAUGUAGCCAUGCCGCGUGUAUGAAGAAGGCCUUCGGGUUGUAAAGUACUUUCAGCGGGGAGGAAGGGAGUAAAGUUAAUACCUUUGCUCAUUGACGUUACCCGCAGAAGAAGCACCGGCUAACUCCGUG